rnacentral:tRNA from 1 species
GAAAUAUGAUAUUCAAGAUAAAGCUUCUAACUUUUUUCUUAAGCGGUUUAAUUCCGUUUAUAUUUCU